UUUCCGUAGGUGAACCAGCGGAAGGAUCAUUACUGAGUUAGGGUCUUUAUGGCCCGACCUCCAACCCUUUGUUAAAUCUACCAUGUUGCUUUGGCAGGCCCGCUUAGAAAUGGGCAGCCGGAGACCUUUGAGUCUCUGGUCAGUGCCUGCUAGUAGCCUUUUUAAAUUCAUUUAUAACCGUGUCUGAAUAUACACAGAAAAAUUAAAAUAAAACUUUCAACAACGGAUCUCUUGGUUCUG
rnacentral:misc_RNA from 1 species